ACAUGACCCUUAAUCCCCAAUUGGUAGAAUGCAUUGCCACAUCACCCCAAAACACUAAAGCCCCAGUGAUAGUGAAACCUCAACAAUUCCCCAAAGCCCAUAACACAAGCACACCAUGCCUUCCAGUCCCAGCGCCGAUGGUUAUCCUGGCGACCUGGAGCCAGUAUUCAAGGCAGCGUUUAAAGGGUUGCUUGCCGGUGCUCUAGCCUCUGUUCUCUGGCUGGCCUCUGAUCGGGUCAAGGUUGUUGAUGGGUAUCUGGAUGUCACACUUCUCUACUGGGGGUUUACAAUAUCACUCUUUGCUAUGAGCUUCUAUGACUUCAUGCUCGCUCUGUAUCAUCUCCCACGCCGUUUCAGCCGCUCAAGGAUAAUAUUGCGGUUCUUGUUGUUCUUAUGUCUUUCUGGAGCUAUGUAUUACAUCAUUUCAACUUAGAGGGUCUGCAGAGUUUGCAAUAUUGCACACAAAUAUCAUAUAGGAAAAGAUGGGCGAGAAGUAAGGGAUUGGGUUUCUUUUUGCUGUAUUAAGAUCCAGCCUGCUGAUAUAUGAUAGUUCUCCAGUAGCGUUGAACUUUUUCUAGGCACAUUACUGACAUUAGUCUAAC